rnacentral:rRNA from 1 species
AGCGAACGCUGGCGGCAGGCUUAACACAUGCAAGUCGAACGGGCACUUCGGUGUCAGUGGCGGACGGGUGAGUAACGCGUGGGAACAUACCUUUCGGUUCGGAACAACACAGGGAAACUUGUGCUAAUACCGGAUAAGCCCUUACGGGGAAAGAUUUAUCGCCGAAGAUUGGCCCGCGUCUGAUUAGCUAGUUGGUGAGGUAACGGCUCACCAAGGCGACGAUCAGUAGCUGGUCUGAGAGGAUGAUCAGCCACAUUGGGACUGAGACACGGCCCAAACUCCUACGGGAGGCAGCAGUGGGGAAGUAUUGGACAAUGGGCGGCAAGCCUGAUCCAGCCAUGCCGCGUGAGUGAUGAAGGCCUU